UACAGAGGGGGCAAGCGUUGUUCGGAAUUACUGGGCGUAAAGGGCGCGUAGCGGCCGCCUAAGUCAGACGUGAAAUCCCUCGGCUCAACCGGGGAACUGCGUCUGAUACUGGGUGGCUUGAAUCCGGGAGAGGGAUGCGGAAUUCCAGGUGUAGCGGUGAAAUGCGUAGGAUAAUCGGAGGAACACCGGUGGACGAAGGCGGCGAGAUCC
rnacentral:rRNA from 1 species